rnacentral:rRNA from 1 species
UUUGAAAAAAAGUAGUUAAGUUCUUCAUAACUCAAAGAAUUUGGCGGUUAAUUAUAUUUUAGAGGAACCUGUUGUAUAAUUGAUAAACCACAAUAGUUUAUACCUUUUUGUUACUUGUAUACCUCUAUUCAUAGAAUGUUUUUGAUAGAUAUUUUUAUUUUGUUUAAGCUUUAAUAUUAGGUCAAGGUGCAGUUUUAUAAAGGGAAUUAUGGGUUACUUAAAUUUUAAAUUUAUCUGUUUUUUAGUAAUAAAUUAAAAUAAAGGAGGAUUUAAUAGUAAAUUUGAUUAAUUUAUCAUUUUGAAUAAU